rnacentral:lncRNA from 1 species
GAGGCCGAGGGGGAGGGGCGGGGCGGGGAGCUGCGCUCCGCUCUGGGCACCGCCGCGGUGCGCUCCGCUCCAGUCGCCCGCCGCGCCCGGGGCCAGAGCCGGAGUCGCGCCGCCGCGGCUGGCCCAAGGCGGGGAGGGGGGGGGAGCCUGCAGCACCUGCCCCUCCUCCCCCUCCCCGCGGCCCAAAUUAAAAAACAACAAAAAGCAACUAAUCACCCCGGAGCGCAGCGCCUCGCGGCGCGGCGGGCGAAGGACUCGGCGUGCGGCGCCCGGACUCAGCAGGCGGUGCGCAUUGCUAGGCGCAGGCUGGGACGCGGGGCUGGGCUGUCGGGGAUGAGGCUCUCCUCUUCUGGCUCUGCUCGGACGCCUGAUCUCGCCGCCGCCUCUACAUCCCAGCUCAGGCUCCGCCGCCUCUGCCGCCGCGCCGCGCGCCCGCCCGGGCAGGAGCUCCGAACGCUGCCCGGGGGCUGCCGGCAAAACCCGGACCGGACUAGCGGCUCCCUCACCCCCCCCUCUCCACCUCGGAUUCCCUCCCUCCUCCGCGGCCUCCCUCCCAGAUCAGCUUUGGCCACUUGGACGCCGCAGGCUCUGAAGCUGGAGUCGCAGCCGUUGCGCCUCAAGAUCCCCGCGUCCUGGCGAGGUCCUCCCAGGCUGAGCUCCCCCACGCGUCAAGCUUCACCUUUUUUCCAUGCAACUUUACAAAUACAUAAGUAAAUAAAUACCACAGGACCCCUUUGUAGGAGAUGCCUGGGCUUGGAGACGCACCUUCCGUGGAAAAUCCGCAGACCUUCUGCUCCCUGCUCAACUGUUCGCUGGGGCAACAAGCUACAGGGAUUGAGAAGGAAGGUUUGGCAGCUCAGCCCUCACCCCCACCCCCCAGCUCAGGUGCUGCUCGAUCUGCCAGACUCUCAGUUCAAAGACCGUACCCUUCCCAAAUACACUUGCCUGCAUUCAGUAGACCCUAAUUCCAACGGAAGAAAAAAGGAGGCAGAGUCCUGCUCCCAUUUCACAGAUGAAGAAACUAAUCAGAAAGAGGACAUUUUGAGUUUUUUAGGAGGCAGGCUCCUACCCAACUAUAAUCCUGGGGCAAAGCAUGUACACUGGUGCCCUAGAGCUGUGGCCUAUGAACAGGGAGCCUGUAAUAGUACCUGGAACCAAGCAACAUUCAGUAGAUAACUAGCUAAGAACUAAAUCUCAGCCCUGCGCCUGGUGGGAACAGCAGUUUUGAGACAGCACCUAUUCCAUCUGUACCUCUGUCCUUUGACCAAGUCCCCUCCCUUAUCUGCCCAGCUUGGGCUAAUCCUACCUACAUCUGAUGUCUUCUCAGAGAACCAUAGAAUGAGCCCUGGACUCCUAUCUUCCUGGAGUGAUAGUUCUGCAGUCUUGAGGGAUUUGAGUGGGAGGUCAGGGUUGCAGUAGUCAGACCUUCAGGCCAGAGAAAACAGCCUCCAGACCCAUGGGGAUUUCCGGAGCAGUGAGGGUGGGAGCAUCAGCUUGGUGAAGUCGGGAUGCUGACUGUGCGGAGGGACCUGCUCCCUGGGGAUGAGCAACCAUCAUGAAGAUCCUGACCCACGAAGUAAAGGACCUGUCCACCUUGAAGCCUAGAGCCAGUACAGAUCAAGUCCUGCACACCGGGAAAAGGCUCUGUGCUAGGCAGUCUCGGGCAGAGGGUCUGGCUCACUCAGUAAAUAAAGGUGCUUUCCUUGCCAGUGGGGAGACUUGAGUUUGAUCCCCUGAACCUGGGAUGGUAAACCCAACAAUGAAGAGGCAGAGACAGAAGACUCCCUACGGCUUACAAGCCAGCCAUCCUAAUUAGUGAGCUCCAGUGAGAAGCCCUAACUCUGA